GGAUGGCCUUCUGCCAGUUAGGCCUGGCUCCGAGUGCUGCAGUGUCAACACUGAAGAGUGAGCGCCAGAGGGGUGAUGAUGUUCUUGGCUGGAAGACUCUAAGGCUAAUAGAACAAGGCCUUUUUAUGAGCCUGCCAGGAAUCUCUCUUCUGAAAGUGCCAGGAUAAAUUGCCGGAAAUUAGCCAUAAAAUUCACUGUGCAGGGAGUGUGAGGUGAAGGCCGCCGAGGAGCCAAGGACAUUGGGCCGCCGUGGUUACGCUUGGCCUGGCCUGCCUCCCCCAUGCUUGGCAUUCAUGGCUGUUAAAGACCUCUGCUCAGACAGAUACACUGAAGCCUCGAGUAGCACUCAGCACAUCAGGAAGAUCAGCCAAGCAAGUGUUACACUAACGGCCACGGUUUCAUGGUCUAGUAACAUGACAGAUUUUCAGCAGAGGGUAGCUGAUCGUUUUUUUUUUUCUCUUUCCAAAUUUUAGAUUGAUAUCCACUGUAUUAUU